rnacentral:rRNA from 1 species
GAGAACUACGGGCCAGCAGGCGGUGGAAUACGUAGUGUGCCAGCGUGAUCCGUGAUGAUGGGGCGGAAAGCGCGCGCAGGUGGUUUCUGAAGUCGGAGGGGAAAGCCCACGGCUCAACCGGGGAGGGUCAUGGGAAACUGGGGGACGUGAGUGCAGAAGAGGAAAGUGGAAUUCCAUGGGUAGCGGUGAAAUGCGGAGAGAUAUGGAGGAACACCAGUGGCGAAGGCGACUUUCUGGUCUGUAACUGACACUGAGGCGCGAAAGCGUGGGGAGCAAACAGGAUUAGAUACCCGUGUAGUC